CCUACGGGAGGCAGCAGUGAGGAAUAUUGGUCAAUGGGCGUAAGCCUGAACCAGCCAAGUCGCGUGAGGGAUGAAGGUUCUAUGGAUCGUAAACCUCUUUUAUAAGGGAAUAAAGUGUGGGACGUGUCCUGUUUUGUAUGUACCUUAUGAAUAAGGAUCGGCUAACUCCGUGCCAGCAGCCGCGGUAAUACGGGGGAUCCGAGCGUUAUCCGGAUUUAUUGGGUUUAAAGGGUGCGUAGGUGGCCUUUUAAGUCAGCGGUGAAAGUCUGUGGCUCAACCAUAGUAUUGCCGUUGAAACUGGGAGGCUUGAGUAUGUUUGAGGCAGGCGGAAUGCGUGGUGUAGCGGUGAAAUGCUUAGAUAUCACGCAGAACCCCGAUUGCGAAGGCAGCCUGCCAAGCCAUGACUGACGCUGAUGCACGAAAGCGUGGGGAUCAAACAGGAUUAGAUACCCGAGUAGUC
rnacentral:rRNA from 1 species